rnacentral:rRNA from 1 species
UACGGAAGGUGCGAGCGUUAAUCGGAAUUACUGGGCGUAAAGCGCGCGUAGGCGGCUUGGUAAGUCGGAUGUGAAAGCCCCGGGCUCAACCUGGGAACUGCAUUCGAUACUGCCGGGCUAGAGUACGAAAGAGGGGGGUGGAAUUCCAGGUGUAGCGGUGAAAUGCGUAGAGAUCUGGAGGAACACCGGUGGCGAAGGCGGCCCCCUGGUUCGAUACUGACGCUGAGGUGCGAAAGCGUGGGGAGCAAACAGG